UCCGAAAAAUUGUUCGUAAUUAAUUUCUGCACAUUUUUGUCGUUUUGGGGAAGAGAGUUUAUGGAGCUCAUGCAAUUCUUAGAAUUAUUUGAUCCCUUUAGGAAUGAGCUUCUCCAGCCUCUGCCUGCUCCUCUGGGACAAACUGCACCUGGACGUGGGCACACUGCUUUGGGUCAUUAGGUAUCAGGAAGACCUCAGUUGGAUGGAGCAGUUCCCCUGGCCUGCUAUUAGUCUGGACCCCAUGCUCAUUCCUCAUGUUCUUAUUUCAGCCUUUCCACUGAGUUACUGUCCCAGUAAUGACAAUGGCUCCCAUCAUGCAGAGACUUGUUUGAUAAAAUGCAUUCACAUGCAACUGUUCAUUUUGAUUUCUAUAACUGGGGAGUACAGAAAGCAAACCUGGGCUACAAUGGAGGAUGUCUCCAUGACCCCAGAUAACGCCAAAAUCCUUAACCUCGUUAUCAGUGCAGGAAAUUCGCUCUAAGGUAGACAUGGAAAACAAAUAAGAAGCAAUUUGGAUGUGUUUCAAAAAUGGAGAGAGUUGUCAGGCACUAUAUUAUACAACCUGAACUAGCAAUGAUGAAGUAGACAGUUCACCUCCACAGCAGGCAGGAGCUUGGACCCAGGGCAGUGGAUGUUUCACGCAGAUGGUUAACCAGUCUGUGGCCAUGAGGUGGAAAGCUGGUGGCUCCUCUUUUCAGGGGUAAGCUAGGAUGAAGGGCGGAAGUGGGACAGGAGUGGGGUGUCUGUAGAGAAAUGAAAGUUCUGCAUUGCGUCUUCUUUCAUUACUGCCAGUGAUAAUUCCAUGGCAAUCGGACCUUCCCUUCAUCUGUACAUACAAUAAAUGUGAGUUUAGCACCCGGUACUUUGUCUUAAAAGAUGCUGUGUUAGGUACAGUCAAUUGUGUAGUCAUACUUAGCUUUUCUUUGCUUGUGUUUCAGACAGUUUUAUUGAGGUGAAGUGGAAAUACAGGAAACUACACGCAGAUUUUGGCAUAUCUGUGACGUGUACACCUGUGAAGCCAUCAUCACAAUCACGUUAGGGACUACAUCCAUCACCCAAAAAAGUGUUCUCAUGUCCUUUGGUAAUCCUCCUCCUAAAUGUCCCCACUCCACCACAUAUCCCAGUCCAUAGAGAAAACCACUGACCAGAUUUAUAUCACUGUAGAUUUAUUUGCUUUUUCUAGACUUUCAUAUAAAAAAGAAUCAUACUGUAUGUAUACUUUUCUGUCUUUUCUUCACUUAAUGUUUACUUUCAGAAUCAUCUAUCUUGUUGCAGGUAUGGAUAAUGCAUUCCCUUUUAUUGCUCAGUAGUAGUCCACGGUAUGGGCACAACACAAUUUAUCAUUCACCUGUUGAGGGACAUUUUACUUGUUUCUAAAUUUUUACUAUUACAAAUAAAGCUGCUGUGGACAUUUGUGUGUACAUCCAUUGUGUGGACAUUGUGUGCACAUGUGCUUCCAUUUCUCGGGGGAAAUAUUUAGGAGCACAGUGUCCGGAUCACAUGGCAGGUAUGUAACUUUUUAAACUGUUUUUCAAAGUAGUUGUACCAUUUUACAUUUUCACCAUCAGUGCAUGAGGGUUUCAUUUUCUCCACAUCCCCACCCAUACUUUCUGUGGUCACUUUAAACAUUUUUAGUCACUCUCGUAUGUAUAUAGUGGUAUUUCAUUGUAGUUUAAAUUUGCAUUUUUCAAAUAACUAGUGAUGUUGAACAUAUUUUAUUGUGCUUAUUGCCAUCCAGGAAUCUUCUUUGGUGAAGUAAUUGUUAAGUGUUUCCUCCUCUUUAAUUUUAUGGACGUGUUUGUGUAGAAUUUGUCUUAUUUCUUCCUUAGAUGAUUG